rnacentral:rRNA from 1 species
AGAGAGCUUGCUCUCGGGUGACGAGCGGCGGACGGGUGAGUAAUGUCUGGGAAACUGCCUGAUGGAGGGGGAUAACUACUGGAAACGGUAGCUAAUACCGCAUAAUGUCGCAAGACCAAAGUGGGGGACCUUCGGGCCUCAUGCCAUCAGAUGUGCCCAGAUGGGAUUAGCUAGUAGGUGGGGUAACGGCUCACCUAGGCGACGAUCCCUAGCUGGUCUGAGAGGAUGACCAGCCACACUGGAACUGAGACACGGUCCAGACUCCUACGGGAGGCAGCAGUGGGGAAUAUUGCACAAUGGGCGCAAGCCUGAUGCAGCCAUGCCGCGUGUGUGAAGAAGGCCUUCGGGUUGUAAAGCACUUUCAGCGGGGAGGAAGGCGUUAAGGUUAAUAACCUUGGCGAUUGACGUUACCCGCAGAAGAAGCACCGGCUAACUCCGUGCCAGCAGCCGCGGUAAUACGGAGGGUGCAAGCGUUAAUCGGAAUUACUGGGCGUAAAGCGCACGCAGGCGGUCUGUCAAGUCGGAUGUGAAAUCCCCGGGCUCAACCUGGGAACUGCAUUCGAAACUGGCAGGCUAGAGUCUUGUAGAGGGGGGUGAAUUCCAGGUGUAGCGGUGAAAUGCGUAGAGAUCUGGAGGAAUAUCCGGUGGCGAAGGCGGCCCCCUGGACAAAGACUGACGCUCAGGUGCGAAAGCGUGGGGAGCAAACAGGAUUAGAUAGCCUGGUAGUCCACGCCGUAAACGAUGUCGAUUUGGAGGUUG